AAAUGAUACCAAACUGUUUUUGCGAUGUGUUCCUAAUAUGCACUAUAAAUAUAUUGGGAACAUUUUGCAUGUAUAGUUUUGUAUCAAUAUA
ensembl:miRNA MIR450A1 microRNA 450a-1